UAUCUGAGACAGAGACAAAGAGAAAGAGAGAGAGAGGUUUUAGGGAAUUGGCUCACAUGUCUAGGGAAACGGGCAAGUCCCAGUCUGCAGGGUGGCCAGGCAGGCUGGCGACAUGGAAAAAGCUGAUGCUGCAGUUCAAGUGCAAAGGUCGUGUGCUGACAGUAUGCCCUCUUACUCUGGAUGGUGAGUCUUUUGUUUCAUUCAUGUCUUCCACUGAUUAGACGAAGCCCACCCAUGUUACAGAGGGCAGUCAACUUUGCUCAAAGCCCACUGAUUAAAUGUAAAUCUCAUCCAGAAAACACCCUCACAGAAACACAAAAAAAUGUUUGAUCAAAUAGCUGAGCCCAGUCAAAUGGAUGUAUACAAUUAUUUAUUCCAAACUGAAGAAAAGAUAAAAUAGAAGAAAAUAGAAUAAAAAAAUUAGUAAAGUAGAUGUAAGGAUGGAGAAUUUUGAUAGAAAAUUGAAAUCCAGGAAAUGAAUCAAGGGUCUUCUCUACUUCCAAGCUCGGUAAUUCCGCAGUGGCCCGGAUUGCCAGGCUCUAUCAUCAAGUGUCUGUUCUCACUUCUGUGGGAUUCUAUCCAGGUUAAUACUUCCUAAACACAAUCUGCAGCUGUCUACCUUCUCUUCUAUCAGAUGUCAACUUAGAAUGAGUUUCUCCUGUGUACAAUGCCAUAUUGUGGUCAUGAUUUCAUAAAGUUUUGGUGAUACUUAAAUUAUUUUAUUUCUUUAAAGGUUAAACUUCAUUUUGUAUAGUACAAAUACUCCUUACAUUGAUAUAUAGACUGCUGUAGCCAUCAGUAUUUUCUCCUGAUAAUUCCUAGGCUCCUCUUUCAUUACAUUUUUUUGGGGGGGGAGGGUUACACGGCACUCAUUAUGGUCUAAAUAUAUAAAUUUAUCUAAUCCCUCCCUUUUGCCUCUAAAAUUUAAAUUCAAAGCCCUCCUGGUGAAGCUGAGUUGUCUCCUGCCAAGUUCAUUAUUCUAUUUCAGGGAACUAUGAGAUGUUCUCUGCCCUUGUUAUGAGAUCACCUCUGACAGCAUAGCCAUAUAUCCAGAAAAGCAAACCUUAUUUUCCAUUAGUAUCAGCUACAUAGCCAACUGUCUGCUUCACACAUUCCUUUAAAAAGUCUUCUUCCAAAGACAAAAAAAGAAGCCAUGAAAACACUAUCUGUGGUCCCAGAUCCUUCAGUCUUAUACCUAAGAUUACAGGGUAAAUAGAGAUACAAAGAGAAUUUAUUUGGAAUAUUACUUUAAUAAAAUUAUAUAUACUGGCCUUCACUGGUUUGUAGACUUGAGUUUUAGAGAAAUAUUCCUUUUUCGUAGUGUUUCAUCUUCAAAAGAAAAGCACUGUCCCAGCAACACCCCCACCCCAGUCAUCUGAAACUCCCACUGUAUGAUGACAUGAUAGUUUUUCUUUAAGAUUGAAUAUGAAAGUCUUAACCAUCACAUCAAGCCACAGAUCAAUCAUAGCCACCACACAGAGAAAAUUACCAUUUGGCAACAUCCAUCAUCUUUACAAGUGCUACCCACAUCUAACACCAUCUGAGCCAGCAUUGCUGCUGCUUACUUCUAUCUUCAGUGAGGCUACACGUCAACAAAAGGGCCUUAUUCCCUUUAUUGGGAAAGGACAGGUGCACAGAGAUGCUUUUCUGAGGGGGAACUGUCUUUCCAAUAUUGGAUUCUCUUGUCAGCUCCCUCCUCACCCCUCAUUUUAUGAAGUCAAUAAAGAACAGAAGCUCUCCUUGCUUAUUUGUCAGCUACGCUCUUCUCCCUCUUGUACAACUGAUUUCGGAAAAGAAGGAUAUGGCUAUGAGAGAAGAGUUACUGUCUAUAUCCUAAAAUGAACAGGAGAAGCAGGGUGUAUGUCUGUGUUGUAUUUGAGUCAUGGAAAUGCAGGCCCACAAUGGACCACUCACUCACUCAGAACUCUUGAACUCUGUGAUUCUCAGUUUUCUUCAUCUCUGAUGAGUAACAGCCUUGUCCCCUGAACACCCAGGUGUCAGGUAUCUCUUUCUGCCAUAAACAAGAAAUCUUACCUGCAGCUGGAGUUAAAUGCCCACUUCCUGUUUUUGUAUAACACAGGAAAUAAGAAUGUUUUUGUACUUAAAAAAAAAAAGCAUUUUAAAUGGUUGAAAACAAAUCACAAGAAGAAUAUCUCAUAAUGCAUAAAAUCGUGUGAAAUUCAAAUUUCAGUGUCUGUAAAUAAAGUUUUAUUGGUACACAGUCACAUUCACUUACAUAAUGCCUAGGAGAUAUUUUUAAAUGGCCAAAUUGAGUAUUUGCAACAGAGACCACACGGCUCACAAAGCCUAAAGGAUUUACUAUCUGGCCCUUUACAGAAACAGUUUGCCAAGCUGUUUCAAAGCAGAAACUGACCUAAGACAGACUCCUUGUCUAUGAUCAUGUUAAACCACAAUGCCAUGCCAGUUGGAAUCAAUAUCAUCCUACAUGAUUUUUCAUGCUGCUUAGAAAGCCUCUGAGUCCUUAGUCCAAUAUUGCUCUUAUUUUCCAGCACAGCUGUUGCAAACAUGUCCAUUUCCUCAAGACUUCAACUUGCCCUUGUCACUUCCACACUCCCAUCAGUUGACUUCGUGUCCUAUUUUAUGCAGAGAAAAAUCAGACCAAUAAAAGCGAACUGCCUCCAGCUGCUUCUUCCUGCCUUCCUUCCUCUGCAUCUAGUACCCAUCUUGUCUUCCUUCUGCACAUCUCUGCUAUGCAGUCAAGACACAUUUCUCCAUCUGUGUCUGGUGCAUUCUCCUUCAAGAGUUUAUGCCAUUCAGUAUCUCUUUCUUCCUCUAGAUCUUCAACCUUAACAGGAUUUAAUAAAUUUUGUCACAACAUAUAAAAAUGAGUUUUUGAAGAAAAUAAAUCAAUGAAUAAGAAUUUUUAAAAUGAUCUCAACCCCAUGUCCUUCUUUGGAGACCCUCCUAUGGGGGCUCACAAUAAGCUCCCUCAUUCUCCUCACACCUAACCUACCUGAAAGAGUACUCUAUAUUCACUAUUCUUAACCGUCAUCAUCAUUUCUCAACCCACGCAAACCUUCCAGAGACAUGAAAGGACAUACGAUAUUUUGGGGGAAAUAAUCUAAGGUAGACAGGAGGAGUCAGGGCCAAACGGACCUUAAAUUCCUUUGCUAAGGACUUCGAACUUAACUCAGAGAGUGAAGAGAGCCUUUGAAACAACUCCACCCAUCUUUAAUCUAUUCUUUUUUCUGAUGUGUUACAUAUUUGUGUAGUCCUUUCUCAUCCUCACAUACUUCACAGGAGGUCCCCCCAUCUGAAUUACAGUAGAGAAUUCUGCAAAUACUCAGCGGACCUGCAGGUCAAGAUGAGGAGACUUCUAUUCUCAUAGCAAGACUUAGAAAUCCUGGUAGGUCAUCCAAAAAAGAAAGGCAUAAUCCCAUAGAUGUUUUAGAAAGAUGACUCAUGAAAGAAUGAAAAACGGAUUUAAUUUGGCAAAUUUAGAAGCAAAAAGAUGAUUCAAAUAGCCCAGAUGGAGCAAAGGCUUCAACUUUAUAGCAAAGUGUUUUAUGGGGGUCACAAAAAUCAGGUAAGAAAUGAAACUGAGCUCUUCGGGGAAAGAUGGUUUUUAAGUUCACAAUAAAGACUUCACAAUGAUUUACUAUAACUUUUCUUUUCUAAAGGAGUUGUAUUCCACUGAGUUCGGAACACUUAUGAGUAACUGUGUAUUAUUGUAGGAAGUGUGUUUAGGACUCACUUCAUCCACACUAAUGAGAAUCCUUGCCCUUUGUGAGCUGCUUGCACAAGAAUCAUCUAUUUCAUUGGAGUCUUAAGUGUGAAAUCCUAAAUCCUCCACAGUCCCCCAUAGCAAAUUCCCAUUACAAUAAGCUCCAUUAGGCUAUGUAUGACGGUUAAUGUUUUACAUGCCAAUGUGACUGGCUCAUGGAGUGCUCAGAUUAAACAUUAUUUUUGAGUGGGUCUGUGAAGGUGUUUCAGGAUGAGAUUAGCAUUUUAAUUGGUGGACCCUGGACUCCAUAAACUAGAAUGCCCUUUUUAAUAUGAGUGGGCACAAUCCAAUCUGUUGAGGACCUGGAUAGAACAAAAGGCAGAGGAAGAAGGAAUUUGCCCCUCCUCGUUUUCUCAUUUCUGCCUCACUGCUUGAACUGGGACAUCUCAUUUCAUCAGCUUCUGCCCUUGGGCUGGGAUUUACAUCAUUGGCUCCCCUACUUCUCAGGCCUUUGCACUGGACUGAACUAUACCACAGGCUUUCCUGGGGCUCCCGCUUGUACAUGGCAGAUUAUGAAAUUUCUCAGCCUCCAUAAUCAUAUGAGCCAAUUUCAAAUAAUAAAUACAUCUGUAUCUCUAUCUUUAAUCUCCUGUUAGUUCUGUUUCUCUGAAGAGCCUUGACUGACACAGCAGGCAAUGAGUUCAACUCAUCACUCUCCAGUUCCUAGUACAUAUUGCUUGCUGCAUGGUAGGAUUCAAUGCUAUUUUGAAUGAAUGAAUGAAUGAAUGAGCAAAGAAACCUGUGAAUUUGGAAGUGUAUACUGUCAUUUAUUAAUCAUUUAUUAAUUAUAUAUUAAACACAUACUUUGUGAUCAGAACUGUUCUAGCCAUUGGGAUUUGAGUCUGAAAAGGAUAACUUUGAGGUGACCACUAAAGAGGUAAUUGUGAAGGCGAUGGACACAGUCUUUGAAAAGGUGUUAUUAGUUCAUGUAAAAUGCAGACCUAUCUCAGACAAGGGAGCGGAAUGCUGGCUUCCAAAAUGAGAGUCCAUUUAAGCUGAAGCUGAGGGCAAACAGUAAUUAUCCCAGGGAAGGUAGGAUGGGGGAAAGCGAUACACCAGGGGAAGCAGCAGAGAUGAGAACAAAGGUAGGGGUUUCACAGAUUUAAGUAGUUCAAAGUCGGCAGAAGGAAGAGCUUAUGGAGGCAAUGAUGAGGGAUGAAGCUGGACAAAGAACGGUGGAUAAAGGAUAUCAUCUAUAACGAGGGGCUUGGACUUAAUGCUGGGGAUGAACAGUGGUGAAUCUUUGAAGAGGUUCUCUCCAAUUAA